CCUACGGGUGGCAGCAGUGAGGAAUAUUGGUCAAUGGCCGGAAGGCUGAACCAGCCAUGCCGCGUGAAGGGCAGGGCCCUAGGGGCGGUAAACUUCUUUUGUGCGGGAGCAAGAAUGGUCACGUGGGGCCAGACGAGAGGAACGUAAGAAAAAGCAGCGGCUAACUCCGGGCCAGCAGCCGCGGUAAUACGGGGGAUGCAAGCGGUAUCCGGAUUUAUUGGGGUUCACGGGGGCGGAGGCUGUGAGGUAAGUCAGCGGGGAAAUGCCCCCGCUCAACGGGGGGAAGUGCCAUUGAUACUGCCUUGCUGGACUGCGGCUGCCGUGGGCGGAAUGUGUGGUGUAGCGG
rnacentral:rRNA from 1 species